UACAGAGGUCCCAAGCGUUGUUCGGAUUCAUUGGGCGUAAAGGGCUCGUAGGCGGUUUGUCGCGUCGGGAGUGAAAUCCACUGGCUUAACUGGUGGCUUGCUUUCGAUACGGGCAGACUGGAGGUAUGCAGGGGAGAACGGAAUUCCUGGUGUAGCGGUGAAAUGCGCAGAUAUCAGGAGGAACACCGGUGGCGAAGGCGGUUCUCUGGGCCGAUACUGACGCUGAGGAGCGAAAGCGUGGGGAGCGAACAGG
rnacentral:rRNA from 1 species